CAGUAGCCGCGGUAAAACGUAGGUGGCAAGCGUUGUCCGGAAUUAUUGGGCGUAAAGGGCUCGCAGGCGGUUUCUUAAGUCCGAUGUGAAAGCCCCCGGCUCAACCGGGGAGGGUCAUUGGAAACUGGGAAACUUGAGUGCAGAAGAGGAGAGUGGAAUUCCACGUGUAGCGGUGAAAUGCGUAGAGAUGUGGAGGAACACCAGUGGCGAAAGCGACUCUCUGGUCUGUAACUGACGCUGAGGAGCGAAAGCGUGGGGAGCGAACAGGAUUAGAUACCCCGGUAGUCCCUGUCUCUUAUAC
rnacentral:rRNA from 1 species